CCGAAUCUUUGUGGCAGCUUUAGAGAAUCCAUAAAAUUGAGAUUCCACGCUUGAAACCUAGAUGAAAGCAUCACGUUACAUUUAUUUUUCAGGGUGAAAAUAUGGGUCUUGCUACUUGAACCGGACAGAGGGAGAGACCGUCAUGGAAGCAUCGAUUUCUCUUUCGCCAAAGUUCAUAGAUCGCACCCUUGAAGGAGGGCUUGUCUUUUGUGCUUAGAUACUGAAGUUGACAACCAAAGGAUGACUUGAUUGGAGGAGAUGAGAUUUGAAGCCGUUGUAUUAUGAAUCGCCAAACUGAUCAGUAGAAAAUACGCAUUCAAAAGAUAAAUGAUUUUGAGAUUCUUGGGCUAAGCCACAAAUGAGACAAUCUAACUCAACAUCAUAUCUGAUAUAAUACCUUACGUUAGAACUUACAAAAUAACUCAAUUGUUUACGUUACAUUUAAUAUGGAUUUGUUCUAAAAUUAUGUAAAAUAUAAAUGGUUCAAUUUGUUCAUAUUCUUAGGCCGUGAAUGGUGACCAAAAGGCGGUACGGUUUUGAAGUCUUUUUGGAAUAACACAUAUACAUUCACCAUUCACAUUAAUUUUAAUAAAUUGGCGUUUUUUUGAAAAAUGAAAAAAGGACAGAACGCGUAAUUGACCAACAGAUAAAGGUAUGAACCGCUUUUAAAAUGAGAAACAGAUUUUACCCAGCGAUCCAACCAAAACCGCACUGGAUAAACUUUUUUUUUUUGCUUUUUUUCUUUUUCGAUUUUUAUUAAUAUACACCUGAAAAACAAAAGAAAAACUCUCUCUCUUACUCACGCUAUCUCUCAUCACUCUCUCAGAUUUGUAUUUGUUUUAUAUUCUUUUCUUUUGAAUAGUUUUUUUCUCUAGUUUUGAUUUUGAGAAAGUGCAGUGAAUAACCAACAAAAAUUUAAUAAUUCAUUAAGUAACCAUAUAACGCUUAUGGCUAUGAUAUUUUGUGUGUAACCUAUAAUAUAUACCAUUUUGCCCUUUGCUACCAUGUCACUAUGUCAGCUUCUUUUGUCUAUAUCAUUUAUCAUCCUCUAGUGAUAUAUCUUCCCUGACGUCUCCUUCCCUCUUAAUUACAUCAGUUAAUUAUAAAAAAACAGACCAAUUCAUAACUCUCUCUUGUAUUCAUUUUUCUUUUAAAACUAGUAAUUAAUAUUAAAAAAGGAAGCAAAAUUCUAUUGUAAAUUUUAUAUUUGUCGAAAUAUUAGUUGCCAUAGUAUAUUACUGUUUUCAAAUAGAAUUAUUGAAAUAUUAGUGUAUAGAUUAUAAGUAAUUACUCGAGCAGUUAUAGAAAGUUACAAAUAAUGACAAGAAAAAUUAGUGAGAUUUUAAAUAUUCUCACACAAUUAUAUAAAAAGAUUCGCCACUCUAUAUAAAACACAAAUUAUUUUAUUCUACAAUUUUAAUGGUCAAUAAUUUAGAAUGGUUUUAAGUGUUAAAUAUAUUUCUUAGGGGGUGUUCUUUAAUCAUGGAGUUAAAGUCAAUUCUUUAAGGUUUAGAUUUGCUUUCUAAUAUUGUUUUUAAGAAUCUGUUUGCAUGGAUUUCAAAAUCUCUAUAGUAUAUCUUGGAUUUUGAUUCUAAUAAUUUACUCAUGAAACUCCAAAGAAGUUUCAUUUCAAAUGAUUUGAUAUACAAAGAUUUUUCAAGUCUUUUAGUUUUGAAUAACACUGAAUUUUAAUGAAAUAUUUUAAAUCUUAGUUGAAUAACACCAAACUAUUAAAAUCUAAUGAAGUAUAAGAUCCAAUAACACUAGAUUUUAAAGUUAGAUUUAGAAUCAUUAGUUGAAUAACACUGGAUUAGAGUUGGAUUUCAAUUCUAUUAAAAUCCAUCAUUGAAUAACACCACCUUAGAGUAUAGUAUUCUUUCUUUAGCAUGCAUUUAAGUUGACCAUUUGGGUUUCCUCAAUUGAAUCCCUUAGGGUAUAGCUUUUGUUAGAUUAACGUGCGUUUGACUCAGCAGUUUGAAUUUUCUAUAAUUUGGUUUGCAUUUAAUUGAUCAUUUGAAUUCUCUAUAUAAUAUCUCUUAAGUAUAACUCAUAUUCGGCGUAUAUUUAACACUAAUUUCUAUAAAAAAAAUUAACAUUCUUAUUCUUUCAAAGAAAUUGUAAAAACAUAAGUUUUAGAGCUUUAGUUUAUUUAUAAGGGGCUUUUGCAAAAAUACCACUUUUCAAAAAUACCUCUUUUUUAAAACCUUAUAAAAAAUGCUCUUAAAAAUAUAAGAUUUACCCAAAUAUGUAUGUAAUAUUAUUAAAACAUACACAAACUACAUUUCUAUGUAUCUAAAAUCUUAUAAAUACUUUAUAAAUACCUUAUAAAUGCAUUUUAAAUACCUUUAAAAACCUUUAAAAUAUCUUGUAAAACCUUUGAAAAACCUUAAAAAUCCUUAAAAAAUAACUUAUAAAACCUUUAAAAACACCUUAUAAAACCUUAUAAAUACUUGGAUCGAGUCUUCAAGUAGUAGUUACAAUCCAUAAGUACCUUAUAAACCUAAUAAAACUUUAUAAAAAUUUCAGAUUUAAAAAGGGGCAUUUUUGAAAAUGGAAAUCUAAAAGGGGCAUUUUUGAAAAAGGACACACCAAAAGGGGUAUUUUUAACAAUUUCCCUAUUUAUAAUCUAAAAUUUAGUUGGUUAAAAUGACAAUUUAAUAGAGGAACACACUUACUAUUUUAAUCUAGAUAUAUUUAUUUUAAUCUAGAUGUCUAUAUAGAAUAGUUUCUUAGUUAUUGUUGAUACUAUUUACUGUUUAAAGAAAUACUUAUCUGUUUUUUAAAAUUCAAAUCUUGCUGUAUGCAGAAAAAUAUCAAGGUUUUUUUUUAUUUGUUACAAGUUUUAAUUCAACAUUACUUUGAGUUAAUGUUACAAACAAAAUUACUUGGGAAAAUCAUUUUCUAACAAGAAGAAAGAGACAGAGGUACUUAUGAAUAUCUCUCUACAGCCAACACUAUUUCUCUCGCUAUACGUUAUUCUCCCUAAAUUUUCAGACACUUUGGUAAUUUCACAAGGCCUUUUAGUUACUUUCUUAAUUGAUGGAAUCAUGGUGCUAUAUUCUUUAUUUCAUUAUGAAUUUUGGUUAUUCAGCAAAUUGGUCCUUUGAUUUUCUUUUCAAUAGUUUUUAUACAAACAAAAAAUAUACAUAACUCAUAAUAUAAAUUCAAAUAUUAUAGUUAAUUAAACCGAUUGAGAGUUAAAAUAUUGAUUCUAAAGUCCUUUAUAUUUUAAAAUUUUCAAAUAAUUUUCUAAUAUAUAAACUAGAUUUAUUUAAAUUUUACCAAAAAUUACUCAAUUAUUACAUUAAAUUAUUAAAAUUUGAUGUAUACUUUUAUGAUUGGAUUAAUAAUUGUCUUAUAUAUAUACACUAUAAAGUUAAAUCAAAAAAAUAUUAACUAUAUUUUUAAAAAUUCUAUAUGUAUCCGGCAAAUUAUUUUUUCACGAAUCAAAUAUUAUUUCGUACCUCUUAUUCUACAAAAACCGCACUUAUCCCGCAAAUAAAUUUUUCCUGCUUGUACCGCAGUUGGAUCGUACCGCACUGAAAACCUGCUUUUUCUACAUAACUAAAUACGCUGUCACCAUUCGGAUCCUUAAAUUUAUUGGUAAAAACAGUAAUUGUAAUGUAAUUUUAUAAUGAUAAAAUAUAAUAUAUGACUAACAUAAAAAUUAUAAUUAUUUCGUUUAAAAUAAGCAAAAAUGACGAGUGGGAC
rnacentral:lncRNA from 1 species